rnacentral:lncRNA from 1 species
GCUCAGCUCUCUUCCUCAUGAUUACUGUCAGUUUGCAUCAAAAAGCAAGUUGAUCCGGAGCAGCAUUAUGCCACAGUCUCCGGUCACUAACCUGCAGGGGCAGCUUUGCACACAGAAAUCAGCCUCUAAGAAUAGAAGACACCGUAAGGAACAAAAGGCUUGGCUCGGCUCCUCAAUUUCACACAGGAGGCCCAUAAUGUCUGAUAUGUUCUGUUUUCAUUAGUUCCACAUCUCCACCAGUACCUGACAAUCAUAUUGAAAGGUAACAUCAGGCCAUUCUUCCUCCUUCACAGGUCGUACAUACCACAUCCUGGAGAGAAGUGUUUCAGCAACCAGAGAGUUUGGAAUAUUUGCAUACCUCUGAGACGCUGCUAUAAUGAACUCACCUCUAGUACGUCUUACAAUUAACUCCAUGGUCGCACGAGCAUUGGCACAUGAGAAUGCCACGUAAACGUUAACUUUGGUAAUCCUAGGAUCUGGGCGUCUUCACCUCUUAUUUAAGCUUUCUUGGACCACAUCAUUAACCCGUUUUCUCAAGUUUUAUUGGGCUUCACAACAUAGUUUUUCCCUAUGGCUAGGAAUCUAUUUUCAUGCACUACUGCAUUUGAGAAUCUGAGAAUAAGAAUGGAUUUUGCUAUUAAAAAGCUAUAGUUUAUGUGUGUUCUGGAAACAAUGGUAGUUUUUCAAAAACAAAUGCAGUAAGUUUCAGCUUACCAUCCUUUGUUUUGAUUCUCUCUGCUUAGAGUGGUCUUAACAAAUAAUACCCAGUAACAAGAACAAAGAAAUACAAAGAACUCGAUUCACAUUGAGUUACAAUAAUAAGUGCAUAUUGAUAAUUUGACAGCAUUUCUCAUAUUAAACUUAAAAUGUAGAACCCACUGAAGGAAUCUUGUUCCGAACUACAGUUGCACAAAAGCAGUAAAACAGGGUUUGCUCCACUUGGCAUGGAACAUGCAGAGAGGAGUGUGCUAUGUAACAUUAAAAUCAUUUAUCUACUGAACGUUACCUAGGAAGUUUUCUUCCAAGUACU